AUUGAACGCUGGCGGCACGCUUAACACAUGCAAGUCGAACGGCAGCGGGGGAGAGCUUGCUCUCCUGCCGGCGAGUGGCGAACGGGUGAGUAACGCGUAGGGAUCUGCCUGUUAGAGGGGGAUAAGCCGGGGAAACUCGGUCUAAUACCGCAUACGCUCUACGGAGGAAAGUAUGGGACUGUAAAAGGCCAUACGCUAACAGAUGAACCUGCGUUAGAUUAGCUAGUUGGUAGGGUAAAGGCCUACCAAGGCGACGAUCUAUAGCUGGUCUGAGAGGAUGACCAGCCACACUGGAACUGAGGGACGGACCAGACUCCUACGGGAGGCAGCAGUGGGGAAUAUUGGACAAUGGGGGCAACCCUGAUCCAGCGAUGCCGCGUGUGUGAAGAAGGCCUGAGGGUUGUAAAGCACUUUAGUUGGGGAGGAAGAGCCUAGAUAUGAAUAAGAUCUAGGAGUGACGUUACCCAAAGAAUACGCACCGGCUAACUCUGUGCCAGCCGCCGCCGUAACAC
rnacentral:rRNA from 1 species